rnacentral:rRNA from 1 species
UACGUAGGGUGCGAGCGUUAAUCGGAAUUACUGGGCGUAAAGCGUGCGCAGGCGGUUUUGUAAGCCAGAUGUGAAAUCCCCGGGCUUAACCUGGGAAUGGCGUUUGGGACUGGGAGUCUGGAGUACGGCAGAGGAGACUGGAAUUCCUGGUGUAGCAGUGAAAUGCGUAGAUAUCAGGAGGAACACCGAUGGCGAAGGCAGGUCUCUGGGCUGAUACUGACGCUCAUGCACGAAAGCGUGGGGAGCAAACAGG